AUUGAACGCUGGCGGCAGGCUUAACACAUGCAAGUCGAGCGGGGGAGGUUGCUUCGGUAACUGACCUAGCGGCGGACGGGUGAGUAAUGCUUAGGAAUCUGCCUAUUAGUGGGGGACAACAUUCCGAAAGGGAUGCUAAUACCGCAUACGCCCUACGGGGGAAAGCAGGGGAUCUUCGGACCUUGCGCUAAUAGAUGAGCCUAAGUCGGAUUAGCUAGUUGGUGGGGUAAAGGCCUACCAAGGCGACGAUCUGUAGCGGGUCUGAGAGGAUGAUGCGCCACACUGGGACUGAGACACGGCCCAGACUCCUACGGGAGGCAGCAGUGGGGAAUAUUGGACAGUGGGCGGAAGCCUGAUCCAGCCAUGCCGCGUGUGUGAAGAAGGCCUUUUGGUUGUAAAGCACUUUAAGCGAGGAGGAGGCUCUUAAGGUUAAUACCCUUGAUGAGUGGACGUUACUCGCAGAAUAAGCACCGGCUAACUCUGUGCCAGCAGCCGCCGUAAGAC
rnacentral:rRNA from 1 species